AGUGCCUGCGGGCAGAGCGAGCAGACCGAGUCCCGAGCCCCAGGACCUGGAGCUUAGCUUGGGUCUCGGGGCAGAGGCUGCUUUUCUCCCCUCUCUGCCUUGGUGUAUCGGGCCUGGGGAAGCUCUGGGCAAGAACAGAGGCAGCACAGCAGCCCUGCCCCCAGGCGAGGGUCAGCCGCUGGGGGAGGUAGGUCAGUGCCCUUCCCAGCAGCGUGCGGUCCAUCGGCCCCACGUCCUUGCUUCUGGCCAGCCAGAUAGCCCCUCGAGGCUAGUCAAGCCCUUGCUCUGUGAAGAGAUGGGGCUGUGGAAGCAGAGUGAAGCCAAAGGCUGCCCCAUAUCUCAAGACAGGGGCACUCGCCCUCUGGGGGAACAAGUCAGGGCUGGUCCGGGAAAUUGUGAAGGAAUUCUUUGAUGCCUUCCUCCAAGGUUUAGGAAUGACAAAUGAAGCCUUAGGACAAUGCUGGCCCGACAGAAGUUUGCUAAACCUGGUCUUCCCUCUCCCGUCUGCUCUCUCUGACUCAGCUCCAGGUCCUCUCUCCUUCUGGCCCCCGAACUCAGCCUUCCCUUCCCUCGGGGCCUUGAGACAAGCUACCUGGCUGUGGCAAUGACCGUUUAAGGAGUGACCCCUACAAGGCAUUUCUGUUUCAAUGGCUGACUCUUGAGCCGUAACCCCCAAAAGUGUGGAUGGCAGUGCCGAGACUGGCGGUUAGGGGGUGCUAUCACUCAGAUGGGGCCUGCCCUGAAUAUUAGCCCUUGAUUUGCCACCCCACUCCCUGCCUGACCCCAGCAGGUUCCCCGCCACCCAAACCCUCCAGCGUCUGAGAAACACAACUUGCCCUGGUCACCCAUCCCCCCCACACACACAGACAGUGCUGACCUUCAGGGGAACAUUGAAACCUCUUCACUGUAAAGUGUGUGUGGAAAAGAAACUGAGCAUCUGAAACCCCAGCUCCUGCACUCCACCCAUUGCCCAAGCGGCCGCCCACAGCAGUUACAAAGAGGAAGACUAACCCUGAGCUAACAUCCGCCAAUCCUCCUCUUUUUACUGAGGAAGACUGGCCCUGAGCUAACAUCCGUGCCCAUCUUCCUCUACUUUAUAUGUGGGAUGCCUGCCACAGCAUGGCUUGCCAAGUAGUACCGUGUCCACACUCGGGAUCCGAACUGGCGAACCCCAGGCCACCAAAGCGGAACAUGUGCACUUACCCGCUGCGCCACUGGGCCGGCCCCGAGCUCAUCUCUUAAACUGCUGUGGGGAGCAUCUUGGGUGAUGGCCUGAAGUAAGAAGAGCAGGUGCUUGGGAACACCAUGUUCCUUUUGGAU
rnacentral:lncRNA from 1 species